rnacentral:lncRNA from 1 species
GCAACGCGCAAUAUAUUUGAGUUUUGACAUAUUGCUAGUCAUCAUCUCUACGUGAAGUACUCCUAUCUAAACACAAAAUCUGCAGCUUCCAUGAUUUGCUAUUAAGACUAGGUAGGAGUUAAAUAACAUAUUCCUUCAGUUUUGCGGUUCCACGAGAAGAGGGUAAUUACUAUUUAUCAUUUCUGAUAAAUUGUUCUUCCAAGAGAGGUCAGGCACAAGGGAUCAAGAAUUCUAUUAAUCGGUUCGACAGGAGACACCAUUCCACGAGAAGAGGGUAAUUACUAUUUAUCAUUUCUGAUAAAUUGUAAUUCCAAGAGAAGUCAGGCACAAGGGAUCAAGAAUUCUAUUAAUCGGUUCGACAGGAAACACCAUUCCACGAGAAGAGGGUAAUUACUAUUUAUCAUUUCUGAUAAAUUGUUCUUCCAAGAGAGGUCAGGCACAAGGGAUCAAGAAUUCUAUUAAUCGGUUCGACAGGAAACACCAUUCCACGAGAAGAGGGUAAUUACUAUUUAUCAUUUCUGAUAAAUUGUUCUUCCAAGAGAGGUCAGGCACAAGGGAUCAAGAAUUCUAUUAACCAGUUCGACAGGAAACACCAAACCAAUGCCUUUGAAACAGGUAGACCAGUUACUUUCCAUCCAACAACCUUCAUUAUAAUAAAUCUAUAAGUUGUGAGUUAUCUCGAUAAAUAUGAAUUUUUGGUGCAUGAACAGAUUCAAACAUCAACCAGUUACCUACAAUACGCCUUCUGGACACAGCAAGGAUAAAGUGAAAAAAAAGGAAAAAGAAGCUUUUAAAUUCUAUCAACCGGAGUUUCACGUUGCUAAUUCCAAGUCCAUAUAAAAGAGGAUGAAUGUUAUAGUAAAUUGAUGCUGGUGAAAAACUUGUUAAAAUAUGAUUGUCCUCUAAACAUCGAAAAUAUCUCAGUUUUCUUACCAGACAUAAUUUAAAAGUACAAGAAACUAAAACUAAAACUAAAAAUAAGAACUGGUUCGAGUAGAAUGAAAUGGACAUACAUCAUAUAGAAGUGUUUGUGUAGGCUUAUAAGUUGAUCACAUCAGCUAAUGAGCACUUCUUGGCUUAUAUAUGCUUGGUAAGCACCAGAGACAAUUGCAAGCCAAGUACUUAUUAACGAAAAUCAAUUGAAACUCAUUCGUUGGUCACCUUCAACUUAUGACAUUUUAGCUUGUAAUCACUUUUGAUUUGACUAAAGUUUUUGUUCUUUUAUCUCAAGUAUCUUUUGUAAUCUCCGAAAUACCCUCUUCAAGAUAGAACAACGAACUCCCACUCCAUUCUAUUUUCUUCUGAAAUCCCUACGAAAAUCUUUUACAAAUACAAAACAGUAUCUUCCUCUGAAUAAGUGAAUUAGACAGCACUCAGGUGGGUCAAUUUUCAUAAAUUUAAUCGUAAAUGUGAAAUACUUAUACAAAUAAUAUGCGGGAGAGAUAAAAAAGAUGCAGGGUUGUUUGUCUCCUUGGCUCCAAAGAAUCCAAAAAAGUGAAAAAAUGGAUCUUUGUCCAACGGAUUGCACCUAGUAAGAAAAGGUUUUGUGUUUUAGUUCGACCUGUCGAUACAUAUGAAAUAAGAAACAUUGCCAUUUUUCCUUGUCAUAGUAUAGACACUCUCUAUUUCAUAUUUUUUGUAAGUUGCUUUAAUGGUAUUUUAGUCAUCUUAACAGAAAAAUACUCUAUCAAAACACAUCAACUAUUUAUUAUCAAUUCCAACACUUCUAUCCAAAACUAAUAAAUACGUUUCAUUAUCUAAUGCUUAUCAGCUAAGGUUAGGAUACAGCCAGUAAAUAAAUGAUCAAAAUUGUAAACAUUUCCUCAUCAAAAGCAAAAAUAGUGAUCAAGAAAUUAAAAC